UAGGUAUGGCAGAUAGUUGCCCACUUAUAGUGGGAGGAAAGUCCGGGCUGCAGCAAGGCAGGAUUCCAUCUAACGGAUGGCUGGGGUAACCCAAGGGCAAGUGCAACAGAGAGUAGACUACCCACUUUGGUGGGCAAAGGUGAAAGGGUGGUGUAAGAGACCACCGGUAUCUAUAGUAAUAUAGGUAGCCAGGUAAACCCAAUCCGCAGCAAGAAGUACCAGGUAAAAGCCUUGCAUUUUGUGUACUUCGCAUGAGUUAGUUAGUAAUAGCUAAAUAAGAUAAAUAACUAUCCUCGACAGAACUCGGCUUAUAGCCGUACCUAACCC
rnacentral:RNase_P_RNA from 1 species